GACGAACGCUGGCGGCGUGCCUAAUACAUGCAAGUAGAACGCUGAAGGAGGAGCUUGCUUCUCUGGAUGAGUUGCGAACGGGUGAGUAACGCGUAGGUAACCUGCCUGGUAGUGGGGGAUAACUAUUGGAAACGAUAGCUAAUACCGCAUAAUAGCAGUUGUUGCAUGAUAACUGUUUGAAAGGUGCAAUUGCACCGCUACCAGAUGGACCUGCGUUGUAUUAGCUAGUUGGUGGGGUAACGGCUCACCAAGGCGACGAUACAUAGCCGACCUGAGAGGGUGAUCGGCCACACUGGGACUGAGACACGGCCCAGACUCCUACGGGAGGCAGCAGUAGGGAAUCUUCGGCAAUGGACGGAAGUCUGACCGAGCAACGCCGGGGGAGUGAAGAAGGGUUUCGGAUCGUAAAGCUCUGUUGUAAGAGAAGAACGAGUGUGAGAGUGGAAAGUUCACACUGUGACGGUAUCUUACCAGAAAGAGACGGCUAACUACGUG
rnacentral:rRNA from 1 species